UAAUACAUAUCAGCCCCAUUGCCGUUCCUAGGAUACAGUCCCACGCUACUCUAAACUUCUCUCUCGAACGUAGCUCGCUCCUCACCGGCAAUGACAACCCUCACUGUCAUUGGCUCGGCGCUGGCCCGUCGUCGUCUCUCUUUGCCACGGCGGAAUCGAAUUCAGUCCUAAAUCGAAACCAAAACCUUACCAGUCGACGCAACCCAAACCCUAGCCGCCGAGAAUCCCAAAAACCCACACUCAUUCACAGGCAAGCUUUACCUAUUUCUCACUGAUUUCUAGCGAGUGAUGGUUAACUUCGCUGUUAUGUCAACUAUUUUCGGCACGAGCUUCACGGUUCUCAUCUCUUUGAGACCCUAAGUAUGAUUUUUUUGGGUUUCAAGUCGUUUUGCAGCAUUAUUGUUUUGUUUCAUUGUUUGGUUUCAAGUCUUUUUGCAGUAUUAUUAUUUUGUUUCAUUGUUUCUCUUAUUUGAUUUGUGAUUAUAAAUCUACAUACAGUAUAGGAUGCUGUUCCAACUCUUGCAUAAUGAUUUUUUUUUUUUUUGGGCAUUUGUUAGAUCUGUGUUAUGCAUUCAAUGUGUUUGUUAAAAGUUUUGUUAUAUUUAUGGGUAAUCUUGUGUUUUAGUAUUACAGUAAUUCAUUAGUAUUUUCUCAUUUAUCAAAUUUUAGAAACAUUUUUUGUGUUCUAAAACCUGCCCUAUUAUUAAUCGGCUAAAUUGAGCGAGACGAGGAUGAGUAGAACAGUAUGGUCAGGACUGAUAACUCCGUACAGAUGAACUUUUCAGUUUUAGCAUUGAAGAAAAUUACAGAUCUUGUUAAUAGUGUUCUUUUGGGCUUCUAAUGAUAGGUUUAAUUUUAGUCUACAAUUCAGCCCUCUUCUGGAUUGAAAAGUCUUGUAGAACUUGUGACAAAUGGUUAAGUUGCCACUCAGUUAAUAGCCUGCAUUUGCAUUGUAGCUGGUAAUGCUUGAUCCUUCAGUAGGAAUGAAAAGAAUAUUGAAAAAUUACUGCAAAUUCUAAUUAUCUGCAAAAGUUUCUUGAAUAAUUGGUGGAAAGAAUCUCUAAAUUGUCAUUAGUAAUUUAGUUAUCUGUGGACUUUGAAGUUACCGAUUAUUUAGUCAUUGAAUAUAAUUUUAUCAUAAUCAUUAUAAUUUGUUCUGUUUAUUUUUAUUCUGAGAUGCGAGGGAUUUUAUUAACAUGCUUUAUUGCUUUCAAUUCUGUCAUGGUUUAGAAGUGUAUUCUGUUUAAUGUGAAAGAGAACUCAAGUUGUUGUGGUGAGCCCCUCCUUGUAAUUGUAGCUCAAGCCUCAAUGGUAUUAGAUUUAGAGCCCUAUGGGGCUCUUUAUAAUUCAAAUGUUUAGUAUAUCAUGUUAUUAAGUAAUAUAAUUGAUAAAUAAAAUAUAAAAUAGGUGUAUAGGAAUCAUGUCGCAUGAUAAAAAGAAAUUAGUUUAGAAAAUUAAAGAGGGAUAAGCAUCUCCUACACUAACUGGUAUUUCAAUAUUACAAAUUAAUUUGUAAUGAGUACGAUAGUAGCAAAUUAUGUAAAACAGUACAAGAGAGAGUUCAACAAUUUGUGGUUAUUUUUGAAAAACCUCAAAAGAUACUUGCAAAUUUCUCAAUGAUGAUGGCAGCCAGUUGUGUGGUUUUUGUGUGCUUAGCUUUCUUUUAAAACUUGGAAAGCAUGCUUAUGGUACAAAAAGUAGUAGAUGUAAGGGUAAUUUGGUAAUGACAGCGGUUUGUUUUUAUAGUGAUUUCUUUAAAAUAUUUUUGUCAGGUGGUUUGUUUUAUCAAUUCAUCACCCUAUGGAAAAUAGAAUGCAGCAUUUCAAUGAACAGUUCUCAUUGAGUUUGCCUUUCCCAACUAAUUUUUUUUUUUUUUAACCAUAGCGUCAUUCAAUACACAAAUGUAGACCCCAAUCGGAGCUUUGAAGACUUAAAAGUGCGGGUUCUCAAUUUGAACUUCUAGAUUUAAUUUUUUAUUUUUAUUUUAAAAUUUGUAUAUGGUAUAAUUCACUAUCUCUGCAGAUUUUAUGAGUCAUUAAAUUUGAAUCAAAGUGGGGCAUUUUUAUUAGAUCCCAACUGUCUAUACAUACACACACAAUGAGAGAAUAGAGAUUAAACUCUCUAAUUCUAGAUACCUUGGAAGGAGAAAGUGAAAAUAUUAAAGCAGGAUCUGAAACUCUGAUUCAGUUUCGAUAGUUUGUUCAGCAGCCUUUUUAUCUUCAAGCAAGGGAUUGCUUAUUUAGUUUUUCUUUAAUCCCUGUUAUUCUUUAUAAUCUCUUUUUUGGGUGUGCAAACAUUAAUUGAUAAGUUUGCUUAGGCUGAGCAUGCAAGAGUUAGAAUUUCAGCAUUCAUUCAAAUUCUUGGAAUAUUCUAAUCCAAAAUAGUAUUAAACUUUAAUAAUGCAUGCGAUGGUUACCAGUAAGAAGACAUGCUAAAGAGAACAAAACUUAAAGAAUAAUGAACUUGAGUACAUAUACAUCAGAUUUGGCCUAAGCCUUACAGCUAUAGUUAUUGAUUUUAAUUUUAUUUAUUUAUCAUUAGCUUUGUUGGCUAUAAAAGCACGGCUUGAAGACUUGGUACUACAGAAUAUUGGUAUUCACGACGGGAAAAUACAGAAUGCAGAGAUUGCUGUGGAUGCUUUGUUUAUAUGGUAGGUGUUGUACACAACUAAUGGUACUGUAUAAUUUUCAUUUUUAUUUGUUUUGUUCGUGUAAAUUUCUUUAAUCCUUUUUAAUGUCACUUCAGAGAACAGAAAAAAAGGGUCUCGCCUUAUUCUUCACCAAAUAUUUUCAUAUUCUACUAUUUUCAUGUGUAAAUACUUAUUUUUCACUGAAUGCUUUCCAUUGAUGAAAUGGGAAUCAUGUUACUUGAUUCUGGGGCCUGGAUUUUGCUGCUGGAAAAUCUACAUCGAUAUUGGCUUGACUUUGGAAUAUUAAUUAACGGAUCCCUCUAAGUUACAUGCAUGUACCUUACAACUCUCUCAC
rnacentral:lncRNA from 1 species